GGAUGCCAGCUCAGUGGUCUAUCGGUUAAGGGCUCCGGCUCGAGACUGGUAGGUCCUGGGUUCGAAUCUCGCGAGAGCGG
rnacentral:tRNA from 1 species